rnacentral:rRNA from 1 species
GAUGAACGCUGGCGGCGUGCCUAAUACAUGCAAGUCGAGCGAACAGACGAGGAGCUUGCUCCUCUGACGUUAGCGGCGGACGGGUGAGUAACACGUGGAUAACCUACCUAUAAGACUGGGAUAACUUCGGGAAACCGGAGCUAAUACCGGAUAAUAUAUUGAACCGCAUGGUUCAAUAGUGAAAGACGGUUUUGCUGUCACUUAUAGAUGUAUCCGCGCCGCAUUAGCUAGUUGGUAAGGUAACGGCUUACCAAGGCAACGAUGCGUAGCCGACCUGAGAGGGUGAUCGGCCCAACUGGAACUGAGACACGGUCCAGACUCCUACGGGAGGCAGAAGUAGGGAAUCUUCCGCAAUGGGCGAAAGCCUGACGGAGCAACGCCGCGUGAGUGAUGAAGGUCUUCGGAUCGUAAAACUCUGUUAUUAGGGAAGAACAAAUGUGUAAGUAACUAUGCACGUCUUGACGGUACCUAAUCAGAAAGCCACGGCUAACUACGUG